GGACAACCUGCCCUCGGGAGGGGGAUACCCCGGGAAACUGGGGCUAAACCCCCAUAGGUGAUGGAUACUGGAAUGUUCCAUCACCGAAAGUCCGCAAGGAGCCCGAGGAUGGGUCUGCGGCGGAUUAGGUAGUUGGUGGGGUAACGGCCCACCAAGCCUAAGAUCCGUACGGGCCAUGGGAGUGGGAGCCCGGAGAUGGACCCUGAGACAAGGGUCCAGGCCCUACGGGGCGCAGCAGGCGCGAAACCUCCGCAAUGCGGGAAACCGCGACGGGGUCAGCCGGAGUGCCGAUGCUUGCAUCGGCUGUCGGGGAGCCUAAAAAGCUCCCCAUAGCAAGGGCCGGGCAAGGCCGGUGGCAGCCGCCGCGGUAAUACCGGCGGCCCGAGUGGCGGCCACUAUUAUUGGGCUUAAAGCGUCCGUAGCCGGGUUGGUUAGUCUCCCGGGAAAUCUGGCCGCUUAACGGUCAGAAUUCCGGGAGAUACUGCCAGCCUAGGGACCGGGAGAGGCCGAGGGUAUUCCCGGAGUAGGGGUGAAAUCCUAUAAUCCCGGGAGGACCACCUGUGGCGAAGGCGCUCGGCUGGAACGGGUCCGACGGUGAGGGACGAAGGCCAGGGGAGCAAACCGGAUUAGAUACCCGGGUAGUCCUGGCUGUAAACGAUGCGGACUUUGUGUCGGACAAGCUAUGAGCUUGUCCGGUG
rnacentral:rRNA from 1 species